AGUGAACGCUGGCGGUAGGCCUAACACAUGCAAGUCGAACGGCAGCACAGUAAGAGCUUGCUCUUACGGGUGGCGAGUGGCGGACGGGUGAGGAAUACAUCGCAAUCUACUUUUUCGUGGGGGAUAACGUAGGGAAACUUACGCUAAUACCGCAUACGACCUACGGGUGAAUGCAGGGGAUUUUCGGACCUUGCGCGACUGAAUGAGCCGAUGUCGGAUUAGCUAGUUGGCGGGGUAAAGGCCCACCAAGGCGACGAUCCGUAGCUGGUCUGAGAGGAUGAUCGGCCACACUGGAACUGAGACACGGUCCAGACUCCUACGGGAGGCAGCAGAGGGGAAUAUUGGACAAUGGGCGCAAGCCUGAUCCAGCCAUACCGCGUGGGUGAAGAAGGCCUUCGGGUUGUAAAGCCCUUUUGUUGGGAAAGAAAAGCAGCAGGUUAAUACCCCGCUGUUCUGACGGUACCCAAAGAAUAAGCACCGGCUAACUUCGUG
rnacentral:rRNA from 1 species